AACACAUGCNAGUCGGACGCGAAAGCUCCUUCGGGAGUGAGUAGAGUGGCGCACGGGUGAGUAACGCGUAGGUAAUCUACCUCUGGAUUGGGGAUAACUCUGCGAAAGCGGAGCUAAUACCGAAUGGUCUGGCUUUAUUUUGAUGAAGUCGGUAAAGGAUGCCUCUGCAUAUGCAUCUGUCCGGAGAUGAGCCUGCGUCCCAUUAGCUAGUUGGUAGGGUAAAGGCCUACCAAGGCGACGAUGGGUAGCUGGUCUGAGAGGAUGAUCAGCCACACUGGAACUGGAACACGGUCCAGACUCCUACGGGAGGCAGCAGUGGGGAAUAUUGGGCAAUGGGCGCAAGCCUGACCCAGCAACGCCGUGUGAGGGAUGAAGGCCUUCGGGUCGUAAACCUCUGUCAGAAGGGAAGAACGGGCACAGUUCGAAUAGGGCUGUGUUUUGACGGUACCUUCAGAGGAAGCACCGGCUAACUCCGUGCCAGCAGCCGCGGUAAUACGGAGGGUGCGAGCGUUAUUCGGAAUCACUGGGCGUAAAGGGCGCGUAGGCGGCCUGGUAAGUCAGGGGUGAAAUCCCACGGCUCAACCGUGGAAUUGCCUUUGAAACUGCUGGGCUUGGAUCCUGGAGAGGGUGGCGGAAUUCCUGGUGUAGGAGUGAAAUCCGUAGAUAUCAGGAGGAACACCGGUGGCGAAGGCGGCCGCCUGGACAGGUAUCGACGCUGAGGCGCGAAAGUGUGGGGGAGCAAACAGGAUUAGAUACCCUGGUAGUCCACACCGUAAACGAUGGAUACUAGGUGUNGGGGGCAUGACCCUCAGU
rnacentral:rRNA from 1 species